rnacentral:rRNA from 1 species
CCUACGGGCGGCUGCAGUGGGGAAUAUUGGACAAUGGGCGAAAGCCUGAUCCAGCCAUGCCGCGUGUGUGAAGAAGGCCUUCGGGUUGUAAAGCACUUUCAGUGGGGAAGAAAGCCUUGGGGCUAAUACCCUCGAGGAAGGACAUCACCCACAGAAGAAGCACCGGCUAACUCCGUGCCAGCAGCCGCGGUAAUACGGAGGGUGCGAGCGUUAAUCGGAAUUACUGGGCGUAAAGCGCGCGUAGGCGGUCUGAUAAGCCGGUUGUGAAAGCCCCGGGCUCAACCUGGAACGGCAUCCGGAACUGUCAGGCUAGAGUGCAGGAGAGGAAGGUAGAAUUCCCGGUGUAGCGGUGAAAUGCGUAGAGAUCGGGAGGAAUACCAGUGGCGAAGGCGGCCUUCUGGACUGACACUGACGCUGAGGUGCGAAAGCGUGGGUAGCAAACAGGAUUAGAUACCCCUGUAGUC